CUGGUUGAUCCUGCCAGUAGUCAUAUGCUUGUCUCAAAGAUUAAGCCAUGCAUGUCUAAGCACAAGCCGAUUAAUGGUGAAGCCGCGAAUGGCUCAUUACAACAGCCAUAGUUUCUUAGAUCUUACUUUUCUACUUGGAUAACUGUGGUAAUUCUAGAGCUAAUACACGCAAAAAAGCUCAGACCUUACGGAAUGAGCGCAUUUAUUAGAACAAAAACCAAUCGGGCUUCGGUCCGUCAUUUGGUGAAUCUGAAUAACUUUGCUGAUCGCACGGUCUUCGUACCGGCGACAUAUCUUUCAAAUGUCUGCCUUAUCAACUUUCGAUGGUAGUUUAUGCGCCUACCAUGGUUGUAACGGGUAACGGAGAAUAAGGGUUCGACUCCGGAGAGGGAGCCCGAGAAACGGCUACCACAUCCAAGGAAGGCAGCAGGCACGCAAAUUACCCACUCCCGGCACGGGGAGGUAGUGACGAAAAAUGACGAGACGGCUCGCUAUGCGGUCCGUCAUCGGAAUGGGUACAAUUUAAAUCCUUGUAACGAGGAUCUAUUGGAGGGCAAGUCUGGUGCCA
rnacentral:rRNA from 1 species